rnacentral:antisense_RNA from 1 species
AACCAAGAGAGCGGGCAGACAGAUUUUAUGUAAGAGAGAAAAGUUGGAUGCUCACGCUCCAUGGAGCAUCCUCCCGUUUCCCGGGGAAAAGCGGAUCCCGGAGAAGCAGCCUAAUCUCUCAGCCCUUGUGGAGAAGGGAAUAUCAGAAGCAGGACGAAAGCCAGGUCAAGUCUCUUUCCUUAGGCUCCCCAAAGGGACAAGUACUCACCUCCCAGAGACCUGGCCCAGCGGGUCCUCAUGGCAGCACCACCCCCUCCCGGUGCCCACGACCAUUCGUCUCCCACCCCGCGUUCUCCAGGAUUUCCAAAGACGCCCGUUUAGAUCCACAGAGCUGGAAGACAGCUGUUCCUGCAUCACACCAGAAUGGAGAAGCAAGCUCCUCCCACUAGCAGAAAGCCUUUGCUUUCUGUGCCUGGAUUCGGAAGAUUAGUUAAGCACUGGAAGAGGAGGGGGGAAACAACAACUCGUUUUUGCUUUUUAGAAAGAAAAAAACACAUUAAUGAGCCCAAGAAAUACACGCAACUCUGCAACUCUGUAGAUUUCCACCUAUUCCCAUCCUCCACAGUCUCCCAUCCCACCAGCAACACACGUGAGAUAUCUGAUGCCUUCCCAUCAAUAACUCUCACUUAGUAAGGAUAAGCAAAAAAUUUCCAACCAGGGAUGGAAGUUGUGGAGAGAUAGAGUGGGAAAGCUCAAGGAGCAUUGAUAGGGAUCAUUAAUUAAAAAUCUACCAAACAUCUCUUUCUCUCCCUAAUGUGCGAGUUACAAUAACGUCACUCAAAGCAGUUUGCAGCCACAGCUUG